UUCUUUGGCCCCACCACUGGCAGGGGACAGGGACACAGGGAGAGGCACAGAGAUACAUAUGAGAGAUGGGGACAGAGAUUCACAGGAGGGACAGAGAAACACAGGACAGGACAGGGACACACAGAGGGAUGACAGGGAGCCAUGGUAGGGCAUGGGGACCUGCCGAGGGAGGGGACACGAUGGCAGCAGGACACACAUCAGGGGACAAUGUCACCACACCUGUGGGAAUGCUGCCACCAGAAUGCUUCCAGUCACACCCAGCGCAGGGUCACGUGACCCCGUGGGUGACACUGACCCUUGCCCUGUCCCCAGCCUCUCCCCAGGGGCAGCUGGAGCCCCCAGAAUGAGGUGGCCUUAGGACCCACUAGUGGCUGUCACUCACUUCUGGACUACUUAUACUCAGCUGAAGAAGUUCCCCAUCCCACUCUGGUGGGAGGUGACAAUUGGCUAGGACAGCACGGUGUUGACAGUGGGGCCGUGGUUGAAGGAAAUGCAGUGAGAAGUGCUUUGCCGUGGCUGAGAUGAAGGUGCUGGUGGCACUGUGGUGGCACAGAUGGUAGCAUUGAUGCUGUCCCAAAUCAUGUCCCCAUCCAUGUCUCUGAUGUCUCCACCCAUGUCCCCACAUGUCCCCAUCCAUGCCUUAGUUCAACACCUUUUUUUUACCCCAAUUUCAGGGCUUUCAAAGGGCUGAACAGAAACCUUUUUGUUCAAGGAAAAAACAAAAGGAUUUACAUGUCCCUGCCGGCAAAACAUCCACGUGCUUGGGUGGGUGGGAAGAACCUUUUUUGGAGAGUUUCCACCCCACGAUCUCCACAAUCGUCAGUUUUGACCCAGUCUCUCCCUGUUUGCUGUGGAAGAUGCCCAUGGGCCAGAGAGAAUUGAAAUGAUAGAUUUAUGUUGGAGAAGUACUCCAAGGCCAUUCAACUUUGCUUGAUGCAACCAGAAGAAGCAAAAAGUGAGACUUUUCUGCGGUCAGAAGUUGACAAAUGCACUGUCUGCAAUGGAUUUCAGAUGUUAGUCUGUGGAUGUGUUCAGGUGCCCACAGGGAUGUGCCAGCCCCAGCCAGGUGUCUUCCCAACACGGGUGUCGUGGUUUGAAGGGAAGUGAGUUUUUUUUGGAAGUAGUGGUCAAACCAAUCAGUCCUUAGGUCUGAGUAUUGGCACCUUUGUUGGCCACUAAGAGGUUGGACACGCCUCUGAGGACACGAGGGGUUAAAAGCCGGAUUUCCCAGCAGGACUCCCUCUUUCCCUGCUCUGCUUUCGGAGAGGGAGCGUCUUCUCCUCUUCCCCUGCCCAGGCCUGGCUAGGCCGGGUGGGGGAGGGGAGCAAGGUGGGCCUGGCUGAGCAAGGCAGAAGAGAGUUACCCCUGGACGCUGAAUUCUCAUAGUUGGUGGUUUUAGAAGAGAGAGGACAGCCUGGGACCAAGAGGGUAAUGGGAGAUGGAAAGACGCCCCUUCGAUUGCCAGAAUGAAGAGGAGUGGCCUAUUAGGCUGGACUUUUCCUGCAUAAUGAUAGCCAUAGACGGACCCUGGACCCUCCUGACUAUAAAUAAGACUGUGUUUGGGUGGAUGUUUUUGGCUCAAACCCAGAGACGUUUUGGCCUGCUUCGUGGAGCCCCCGGCCCCAGGGGUAAAUGGGGGGGACCUGAGUCCCAAAAAUGAGAAGACGGCUGGUUUUUUGGUACUUGGCCAAAACAUCCUUAAAAAGAGCCCUGUUGCAGUUCAGGUCCAUGGACGGCAGUGAGAGUGCUGGACAUGGAAAGGAGGGUGUCACCCUGGCAGACUCUUCGAGGCAGUGCCAUGGGUGACGUGGGAACACGGGAUGGUGGACCUGUGUUUCCUGUGGGGGGGGGUCUGUGGUGCGAGAGAGACUCCUCUCGUCCUGGAUGGAAUGUGGAUUGUCUGAAUUUUAAAGGAUGAUGAUUUGGAUUAGGAAGCCAGGGUUGUUGAGGGAUUAAGCAAGUAGAUGAAGGUAAUGUGCUGGAGUCAACUGAGUGAGCAUGUAUGGAAUGGAAAUUGAGGGGAGGAGAAGCAGUGUUUUGGGAGGUUUUCUCUUCUGCUUUUGGGUGGUUGGGUUUUUCUUUCCUUUUCUAUUGUCCAUUGUUAUGUAAUAUAAUAAAUUGUCUGUCUGUUUCAAGUA